rnacentral:sRNA from 1 species
UGGUACAAGUAGAGGCAUCCCGCUUCUCACCUGAAUGACGCGUUUUGCAGUUACCAGGUAACUUUCAUGAUAAUUAAGCGAUGUGCUUUAUAAUCAGAUGCGGGUGUUUCGACACUCGCAUCUUUUUUGUUUC